rnacentral:lncRNA from 1 species
AAUUGGCCCAGGCCCACGCUGACAACGCUCAGCAGUGGGUGCGAUACUCAGAAAUAACGCUCAUUGUUGAUGCCCAGGCGCGUGGCAGUGGAUUCACUGAAGAGGCUGGUGCUCAGCGGCUAAAGUGGCACUCAGCAGUGGUUGUGAAACUUGAAUUAUCCCUCAGCGUUGGCGCUCAAGCAUCAGGUAGAGAACUCCACAAAAAGGCUGGCGCUCAACAGUGAAAAUGGCGCUC